CAAAUUUAAGUCGAUUAUCUAGCUUUGAAGCCCUCCAGUUUGCGGCAACAAGGAGUUUGCCGAAAGACUACGUAAGAUUGGAUCAAGACAUUCUAUCGCCCUUUGCAGGGAAGAAACAGUUAUAUACGUAUGAAACUAUGGACUACUGGGAACAGAUCAAAACACCUGCAAUGUCGUUGAAAUGCUCUGGCUUAUAUCUCGCCCAAUUCCGGGUCACCUCCUCCAACCUAUUGGCAAAUGGAGAUGGUACAAAAAAUGCUAUCAUUACUGGUG
rnacentral:misc_RNA from 1 species